CAUGUGUUUAAAUUCAAGCAAGCCGAAGUAGGAGUAGGAGAAGCAGUACCUAGAGGAGCAACAUCCUUACAAUGAGUUCUGCUUCCUGCCUGAGAGAGCGCCUACGUGAGGACCAGCCUCUGAUUCUGGAUGGCGGGUUAGGAACAGAGCUGGAAGCGGAAGAACCCCGAGCGGAGGGAGACAUGCUGUGGAGCGCCAGGUUUCUGUUCUCGAAUCCUGACCUUAUAAAAGAGAUGCACGACAGGUUCAUCAUCAGUGGAGCCGACAUUAUCACCACAGCCACGUACCAGGCCAGCAUCCCGGGGUUUGUCAGCCACCUGGGCCUGAGCGUAGGCGAUAGCAGAAAGCUGUUGAUGUCUGGAGUUUAUCUGGCCAAAGAGGCGGCGGAGAAGAGGUCUGACUUGAAAUGGAGAAAGUCUGCGUUCGUGGCGGGAUCUGUGGGACCGUAUGGCGCCCACCUGGCUAACGGCUCAGAGUACAAGGGCACGUAUGCAGCGAGGUUGACUGUUGAAAGGCUGAAGGAUUUUCAUCGGCCGCACAUCGAGUGCUUGGUAGACGCAGGAGCCGACGUUAUCGCUUUCGAGACGAUCCCAAGCAUCAAAGAGUGCCAGGCUCUGGUGGAGGUGCUGCGAGAGUUUCCGAGCAGCGAAGCCUGGAUGUCCUUCUCCUGCGGGGAUCACAAGACGAUAGCGGACGGCAGCCUGUUCACAGACGCCGUGCAGAUGGCCUGCAGAUCCAAGCAGCUGCUGGCCGUGGGAGUCAACUGCUGUCCUCCCGACGUGGUGGAGCCACUGCUGGACGCCGCCCAGUCGCUGCUGCCCCCAGAGAUGACCUGGGUGGCGUACCCCAACAAAUGGGAUGCAUGGGACACGAAGCUGGGGCAAGUUCAACCCUGAUGUUGUAUUUCUGUUCCAUUUCUGGGAAAACAAGUAGAGUCAGCCUUGAAAUGUGGGCUUUUGUACGCCGGUAAGCAUAAUCAGGAGUAAUUUGAUUAAAGUGUCCACUGAGCAGGGAGGAAGUGCUCUAUAGUGACAGACUUUAGAGCACAAUCAAGUCAUCUCUGAACGUGCUUUUCUCUCAUGAUUCCCAGCUGACCUUCGACACCGCAGUUACGGAGAAUAUGAGACGUCUUGGUUUGUUUUUGUUUUUUUAAUUUUGAAUUAAAAACGGAGAUAAAAAACAUCUGUUGCUAUCAAACCUGAAGCAACAUGUGCACCUGCGUCGUAAAACAAGAAUAUUACGUUUCUGAAGUUAAUCGCAGCUCACUGAGCCUGAUAGGGGCAUAUUUCUCUCUCGUUUUUGCUAUCCUUUCAGCUUUUUUGUUUCAUUUUCCAAAAGGUGGCUGUCUGGAAAGCCAGCCGCGUGGUUACCGGACUUGAGCCACAAGUGGAUCAAGCAGGGUGUUGGACUGAUAGGUGGCUGCUGCUUCGUGCGUCCAGCUGACAUUGCGUGGUUGAGGCAACACCUGAAAGGUGAUGACGCGAAGU